rnacentral:misc_RNA from 1 species
GGUUAGAGUUAUUAUUUUUUUUUUUGUAACAAAAUUGUCGAUAAACGGUGUAACUUUUAAAUUAGAUAGGUUAGGGUUAUUUUUUUUUUUUGUAACAAAACUAUGUCUACAAACGGUGUAAUUUUUAAAUUAGAUAGGUAUGGGUUUCUCUCGGUCUCUUUCUGAAGUCAGAUUUUUUCAGAAAAAUUAUUCAUGUCAUGUUUUUCACUUCAUUAUAUUUUAUUUAUUUAUUGUCAUAUAGAAUGAACUAAAAUAUUGAGUAUUUUUCGUUUAUAACAGUAAAUAAUUAAAAAUAAAAUAUAUUUAAUUAAAAAAUAUAAUAUGAAACAAGGCUGUAUGGUGUAAGACCUUUGCCUUUACAGUUAUUUAAACAAAAACAAUGAAUUUGUGCUUAUAUUGUUUUAGAACGAAACGAUAAG